GGAUGCCUGGUUCAGUUUUAAUUUCAGAUAAACAAGGUAUAAUUUUUAGCAUAAGUACUUACCAUGCAACAUUUGGGACAUACUUAUACUACUAAUAAUCUGUUUGUUUUGAAAUUCAAAUUCAGCUGG
rnacentral:miRNA from 1 species